rnacentral:rRNA from 1 species
CGGGAAGAGCUCAAAUUUAAAAUCUGGCAGCCUUGUGUUGUCCGAGUUGUAGUCUAGAGAAGCAUCAUCCGUGCUGGACCAUGUACAAGUCUCUUGGAACAGAACGUCACAGAGGGUGAGAAUCCCGUC